GAGAAAACGCUGUCUACGUCGAGCUAGCAGCAUUCUUAAAAACCAUAUUUAAUUAAAAAUAGAGGGUGAGACAGAUUUCUUCUUUCAACUUAAACCUCUCAUUUGAAGAAUGGCGAUGCUUGCCCAAUGAAGACUUUGACUCACGGAAAAAAAAAAAUCAUGGAGUGAGAGAGAGAGCAAAAAUCCCCUGACUUGGAAUGCAACCAGACAAGUGGACCCCAGAUGAGACAAAUCUAAAGAGAACAGUCUUUUCUUGCCAAACUGUUUGGAUAUUAUAAGCAAAAAGAGCCAUUUUUUCAUAUCUUCGUACUGUGCAGGUAACCUCAGGUCAUGGGUCAUGUCAAACACCAAACUCCAGUCUGAAGUUUGUAUUAAUUUUAGUGAAAAUCAGAGGAACCAUCUAGGACAAGUUCAAAAAAGUAGUCUUUUACAUAAUAUCAAAUAUUUAAAAGAUUAGAAAGAUUUGAUUGAUAGCAGUACUUCUUGAGCCAAAGUUGUUCAUAAUGAGGAACUCUGACAUAUGAUUUCAUGAUCUCUACCUUUUUUGAUUGCUAUAGUGCCCCCUAUUUGCUGAUUGGAGUCUUUUGCUGUGUCCGAAAGCUGAAAAAAUGCUGUCUUCAGAGAAUGCAUUCCAAGGUAAUAAGGCAUCAGGCAGGUCCAAAUCAAUGUUAACUUCAAUUCCUGUCUCCUGAGAUACCUUCAUCUGAUGGGUUUUUGAAGGCAGCAUAGAUGUAUCACUUUCUACCUUUGAGAUCCCAUAAUCCUGUGUGUUCUACUCUGUGACAGCUUAGCAAAAAAUAAAAAUGGUGCCUGAAA